rnacentral:rRNA from 1 species
UACGAAGGGGGCGAGCGUUAUUCGGAAUCACUGGGCUUAAAGGGUGCGUAGGUGGGAAUGUAAGUCAGUGGUGAAAUCUCCGUGCUUAACAUGGAAACUGCCAUUGAUACUAUGUUUCUUGAAUUUUCUGGAGGUAAGCGGAAUAUGUCAUGUAGCGGUGAAAUGCUUAGAUAUGACAUAGAACACCAAUUGCGAAGGCAGCUUGCUACAGGGAUAUUGACACUGAGGCACGAAAGCGUGGGGAUCAAACAGG